UACGGAAGGCAGCAGUGGGGAAUAUUGCACAAUGGGCGAAAGCCUGAUGCAGCUAUGCCGCGUGUAUGAAGAAGGCCUUAGGGUUGUAAAGUACUUUCAUCGGGGAGGAAAAACAAAACUAAUAAUUUUAUUUCUUGACGUUACCCGAAAAAGAAGCACCGGCUAACUCCGUGCCAGCAGCCGCGGUAAUACGGAGGGUGCUAGCGUUAAUCAGAAUUACUGGGCGUAAAAGAGCACGUAGGUGGUUUUUUUAAAGUCAGAUGUGAAAUCCCUGGGCUUAACCUAGGAACUGCAUUUUGAAACUGAAAUACUAGAGUAUCGUAGAGGGAGGUAGAAUUCUAGGUGUAGCGGUGAAAUGCGUAGAUAUCUGGAGGAAUACCUGUGGCGAAAGCGGCCUCCUAAACGAAUACUGACACUGAGGUGCGAAAGCGUGGGGAGCAAACAGGGAUUAGAUACCCUA
rnacentral:rRNA from 1 species